rnacentral:rRNA from 1 species
UAACGCGUGAGCAACCUGCCUUUCAGAGGGGGAUAACGAUUGGAAACGAUCGCUAAUACCGCAUAACGUCCGGAUGGGACAUCCUGUCUGGACCAAAGGAGAAAUCCGCUGAGAGAUGGGCUCGCGUCCAAUUAGCUAGUUGGCGGGGUAAAGGCCCACCAAGGCGACGAUUGGUAGCCGGACUGAGAGGUUGAACGGCCACAUUGGGACUGAGACACGGCCCAGACUCCUACGGGAGGCAGCAGUGGGGAAUAUUGCACAAUGGGGGGAACCCUGAUGCAGCGACGCCGCGUGAGGGAAGAAGGUUUUCGGAUUGUAAACCUCUGUCCUCUGUGACGAUAAUGACGGUAGCAGAGGAGGAAGCCACGGCUAACUACGUGCCAGCAGCCGCGGUAAUACGUAGGUGGCGAGCGUUAUCCGGAAUUACUGGGUGUAAAGGGAGCGUAGGCGGGGGAACAAGUUGAAUGUUUAAGAUAUGGGCUCAACUCAUAUAAGCGUUCAAAACUGUUUUUCUUGAGUGAAGUAGAGGUAAGCGGAAUUCCUAGUGUAGCGGUGGAAUGCGUAAAUAUUAGGAGGAACACCAGUGGCGAAGGCGGCUUACUGGGCUUUAACUGACGCUGAGGCUCGAAAGCGUGGGUAGCAAACAGGAUUAGAUACCCUGAUAGU